GGGGUACUACUGGAACGGUAGCUAAUACCGCAUAACGUCGCAAGACCAAAGAGGGGGACCUUCGGGCCUCUUGCCAUCAGAUGUGCCCAGAUGGGAUUAGCUAGUAGGUGGGGUAACGGCUCACCUAGGCGACGAUCCCUAGCUGGUCUGAGAGGAUGACCAGCCACACUGGAACUGAGACACGGUCCAGACUCCUACGGGAGGCAGCAGUGGGGAAUAUUGCACAAUGGGCGCAAGCCUGAUGCAGCCAUGCCGCGUGUAUGAAGAAGGCCUUCGGGUUGUAAAGUACUUUCAGCGGGGAGGAAGGUGAUGAGGUUAAUAACCUCAUCAAUUGACGUUACCCGCAGAAGAAGCACCGGCUAACUCCGUGCCAGCAGCCGCGGUAAUACGA
rnacentral:rRNA from 1 species